GACGAACGCUGGCGGCGUGCUUAACACAUGCAAGUCGAACGGUAAGGCCCUUCGGGGUACACGAGUGGCGAACGGGUGAGUAACACGUGGGUGAUCUGCCCUGCACUUCGGGAUAAGCCUGGGAAAUUGGGUCUAAUACCGGAUAGGACUCCGGACUGCAUGGUCUGGGGUGGAGAGCUUUUGCGGUGUGGGAUGGGCCCGCGGCCUAUCAGCUUGUUGGUGGGGGGAUGGCCUACCAAGGCGACGACGGGUAGCCGGCCUGAGAGGGUGACCGGCCACACUGGGACUGAGAUACGGCCCAGACUCCUACGGGAGGCAGCAGUGGGGAAUAUUGCACAAUGGGCGCAAGCCUGAUGCAGCGACGCCGCGUGAGGGAUGACGGCCUUCGGGUUGUAAACCUCUUUCAGCACAGACGAAGCGCAAGUGACGGUAUGUGCAGAAGAAGGACCGGCCAACUACGUGCCAGCCGCCGCCGUAA
rnacentral:rRNA from 1 species